rnacentral:misc_RNA from 1 species
GAUGAAGAACGCAGCGAAAUGCGAUAAGUAAUGUGAAUUGCAGAAUUCAGUGAAUCAUCGAAUCUUUGAACGCAUCUUGCGCUCCUUGGUAUUCCUUGGAGCAUGCCUGUUUGAGUAUCAUGAGCAAAUCUCAAAGUCAAUUCCUUUUGUUAAUUCAAUUGGUUUUGCUUUGGACUUGGAGGUCUUGCAGAUUUUCACAGUCUGCUCCUCUUAAAUGCAUUAGCUGGAUCUCAGUAAUUAUGCUUGGUUCCACUCGGCGUGAUAAGUAUCACUCGCUGAGGACACUGUUAAAAAGGUGGCCAGGAAAAUACUGAUUGAACCGCUUCUAACGGUCUAUUAAGUUAGACAAUUACCCUUAAGUUCGAUCUCAAAUCAGGUAGGACUACCCGCUGAACUUAAGCAUAUCAAUAAGCGGAGGA